rnacentral:rRNA from 1 species
UACGGGGGGGGUAAGCGUUGUUCGGAAUUACUGGGCGUAAAGGGCUCGUAGGCGGCCAACUAAGUCGGACGUGAAAUCCCUCAGCUUAACCGGGGAACUGCGUCUGAUACUGGAUGGCUAGAGGUUGGGAGAGGGAUGCGGAAUUCCAGGUGUAGCGGUGAAAUGCGUAGAUAUCUGGAGGAACACCGGUGGCGAAGGCGGCAUCCUGGACCAAUUCUGACGCUGAGGAGCGAAAGCCAGGGGAGCAAACGGG